UUGCGCUUUAAUCAGGUGAGACAGCCGGCGAGACGUGAAUUUUUUCCUUUUCUCUUUACAGGCAGGCAACAGAAGCACAAAUUGUGUGGCUUGCUGAGUUCGCAUAGGAAUGGCCUUGCUAGCGAUGGAGGGAAAAUCCAGAUCUCCCAAGUACCAGACCAGCAUCUCCAUCAAAGAUCAUCCUUCUGCCUGGUUUCUGCUCUGGUUCCUGAAUGAUGCUCAACCCUUCUGUUCCUGAAGCGGAGCCUGUGCUUAGGACAACGCAUACAGCAGCUGAUGGAGAAUGCGCCGGCAUUUUGGAGGUGCUCAGAAAGAUCUCUAUAAGAGCUAAGCCACCGUUGUGCUGCCUCCCCAGCUAGUUCUGCAAACCAGCUUCCUGCCUGUGUGAGCACAGACCCAACAAAGGAAUUGCUUGAAAAUGGAAAUUCUUGCACCACUCCCUUUCCAGCGUGUCUCCUGAUGCUGACUAGUUGCCACCAUGCCCUCCAUCCUGAAGUGCAUCUGAGGGCAUUUCUAACUCAAUAUUGGAGUUCUUUAAAGAAGUACAUUCAUCACAGGACUUGCAUUUAUCUUUGGUGGUUCUCCCUUCCUCCCUGUCCCUCUGGUGAUGACAUCGGCUUCCAUAUUACACGUGUGGGACUGCAACAGCUGAAAGCAGGGCUGGGGGAUUCCUCGUGUGCAUCCAUCAUCUCUAAAUGCCUCUCUGCAUCCUGGUCUGAAUUCAGCAGCAAGUACAAGCAGCCUGGCUCACCGACAGCAGGAAUUUUUCAGAAAUGAGUGAAGAAGUUUAGAAGUGCCCAUAAUCUAAUGGCGAAGAUAAGGAGACCUGGCAGAAUGUUUGUUUCUCCUUCUGCAAUGCCAUGGAGCUGAACAUGCUUCUGGUUUCAGUCUCAUCUUCCACUGAGCUCGUCUCUUUGGGUCAUCAGGGAAGUCAGCUAUUCUCUCCUGCUGUUUGCUGUCAUUAGCUGGCCAAAGUGAUGUCUGAAUGUUUUUAAGACUCCGGCUCACUGCAAUGGAAAGAAUUAAAAUAAUAAUUUAAAAAAAACCCAAAGUUUGAAAAAUCAGAAGGGGAAGUCUGCAUAUCAAGGAGGAUAUUGUGGAGAAUCUCAGUCAAGUAUUCUAGUUGCAAAAAAGCCAGUAAAUGAGUAUUAGUAUUUUCAUCUGUUUUUACAAUAUGUACUAAUAAUAGCCACCCAGAAUUAAAAAAAAAAAUGAAGCCAAAUACCUUUUGCAACUUAGACCUUGCUGGAAAAAAAAAAAGAAAUAUUGAAAUCAAAUUGUAUUAACUCUUUUUUGUCCUGCCUAUUUUCAUUUCCAUUUUGUCAGUUUUGCACGAUUAUGCAGGAUAAUUUCUUCUUCCCCUUUUUUGUAAUAAGAUGAGAUUGUUCACAGGCAUCUGAGCUUGAGAAACAGCAGAACAGCUAAUUGCCCUGCAAGCAAUGAGCGGUUGAAAAAAUGCCUGGUUGUCUCUCCCAUGUAUCGAUUUAGGGGCUUUGGUCUAUGGUUUAUUAUUUUCCAAUGCAGUCUACUUUAGGCAGUUCUGUUGUGUCUCUCAUCUCAAAAUAAAGCAAUUCCUUAAAACGAUCGUAGUAUUUUU
rnacentral:lncRNA from 1 species